rnacentral:rRNA from 1 species
UGCUGUGAACUCGAAGAGUAGGGCGGGACACGUGGUAUCCUGUCUGAAUAUGGGGGGACCAUCCUCCAAGGCUAAAUACUCCUGACUGACCGAUAGUGAACCAGUACCGUGAGGGAAAGGCGAAAAGAACCCCGGCGAGGGGAGUGAAAAAGAACCUGAAACCGUGUACGUACAAGCAGUGGGAGCCUCUUUAUGGGGUGACUGCGUACCUUUUGUAUAAUGGGUCAGCGACUUAUAUUCUGUAGCAAGGUUAACCGUAUAGGGGAGCCGAAGGGAAACCGAGUCUUAACUGGGCGUUAAGUUGCAGGGUAUAGACCCGAAACCCGGUGAUCUAGCCAUGGGCAGGUUGAAGGUUGGGUAACACUAACUGGAGGACCGAACCGACUAAUGUUGAAAAAUUAGCGGAUGACCUGUGGCUGGGGGUGAAAGGCCAAUCAAACCGGGAGAUAGCUGGUUCUCCCCGAAAGCUAUUUAGGUAGCGCCUCGUGAACUCAUCUUCGGGGGUAGAGCACUGUUUCGGCUAGGGGGCCAUCCCGGCUUACCAACCCGAUGCAAACUACGAAUACCGAAGAAUGUUAUCACGGGAGACACACGGCGGGUGCUAACGUCCGUCGUGAAGAGGGAAACAACCCAGACCGCCAGCUAAGGUCCCAAAGUCAUGGUUAAGUGGGAAACGAUGUGGGAAGGCACAGACAGCCAGGAUGUUGGCUUAGAAGCAGCCAUCAUUUAAAGAAAGCGUAAUAGCUCACUGGUCGAGUCGGCCUGCGCGGAAGAUGUAACGGGGCUAAACCAUGCACCGAAGCUGCGGCAGCGACACUAUGUGUUGUUGGGUAGGGGAGCGUUCUGUAAGCCGUUGAAGGUGUGCUGUGAGGCAUGCUGGAGGUAUCAGAAGUGCGAAUGCUGACAUAAGUAACGAUAAAGCGGGUGAAAAGCCCGCUCGCCGGAAGACCAAGGGUUCCUGUCCAACGUUAAUCGGGGCAGGGUGAGUCGACCCCUAAGGCGAGGCCGAAAGGCGUAGUCGAUGGGAAACAGGUUAAUAUUCCUGUACUUGGUGUUACUGCGAAGGGGGGACGGAGAAGGCUAUGUCAGCCGGGCGACGGUUGUCCCGGUUUAAGCAUGUAGGCGGAGGUUCCAGGUAAAUCCGGUACCUUGUUAACGCUGAGGUGUGAUGACGAGGCACUACGGUGCUGAAGUGAUAAAUGCCCUGCUUCCAGGAAAAGCCUCUAAGCAUCAGGUAACACGAAAUCGUACCCCAAACCGACACAGGUGGUCAGGUAGAGAAUACCAAGGCGCUUGAGAGAACUCGGGUGAAGGAACUAGGCAAAAUGGUGCCGUAACUUCGGGAGAAGGCACGCUGAUAUGUAGGUGAAGUCCCUGCGGACGGAGCUGAAAUCAGUCGAAGAUACCAGCUGGCUGCAACUGUUUAUUAAAAACACAGCACUGUGCAAACACGAAAGUGGACGUAUACGGUGUGACGCCUGCCCGGUGCCGGAAGGUUAAUUGAUGGGGUCAGCGGCAACGCGAAGCUCUUGAUCGAAGCCCCGGUAAACGGCGGCCGUAACUAUAACGGUCCUAAGGUAGCGAAAUUCCUUGUCGGGUAAGUUCCGACCUGCACGAAUGGCGUAAUGAUGGCCAGGCUGUCUCCACCCGAGACUCAGUGAAAUUGAACUCGCUGUGAAGAUGCAGUGUACCCGCGGCAAGACGGAAAGACCCCGUGAACCUUUACUAUAGCUUGACACUGAACACUGGUCCUUGAUGUGUAGGAUAGGUGGGAGGCUUUGAAGCGUGGACGCCAGUCUGCGUGGAGCCAUCCUUGAAAUACCACCCUUUAAUGGCUGGUGUUCUAACGUAGACCCGUGAUCCGGGUUGCGGACAGUGUCUGGUGGGUAGUUUGACUGGGGCGGUCUCCUCCCAAAGAGUAACGGAGGAGCACGAAGGUUGGCUAAUCCUGGUCGGACAUCAGGAGGUUAGUGCAAUGGCAUAAGCCAGCUUGACUGCGAGCGUGACGGCGCGAGCAGGUGCGAAAGCAGGUCAUAGUGAUCCGGUGGUUCUGAAUGGAAGGGCCAUCGCUCAACGGAUAAAAGGUACUCCGGGGAUAACAGGCUGAUACCGCCCAAGAGUUCAUAUCGACGGCGGUGUUUGGCACCUCGAUGUCGGCUCAUCACAUCCUGGGGCUGAAGUAGGUCCCAAGGGUAUGGCUGUUCGCCAUUUAAAGUGGUACGCGAGCUGGGUUUAGAACGUCGUGAGACAGUUCGGUCCCUAUCUGCCGUGGGCGCUGGAGAAUUGAGGGGGGCUGCUCCUAGUACGAGAGGACCGGAGUGGACGCAUCACUGGUGUUCGGGUUGUCAUGCCAAUGGCACUGCCCGGUAGCUAAAUGCGGAAGAGAUAAGUGCUGAAAGCAUCUAAGCACGAAACUUGCCCCGAGAUGAGUUCUCCCUGAGACUUUAAGUCUCCUGAAGGAACGUUGAAGACGACGACGUUGAUAGGUCGGGUGUGUAAGCGCAGCGAUGCGUUGAGCUAACCGAUACUAAUGAACCGUGAGGCUUAACCUU